rnacentral:rRNA from 1 species
UACAGAGGGUGCAAGCGUUGUUCGGAAUUACUGGGCGUAAAGCGCGUGUAGGCGGCAAUGUAAGUCGAAUGUGAAAUCCCUCAGCUUAACUGAGGAAGUGCAUCCGAUACUGCAUUGCUUGAGUGCCGGAGGGGAUGGCGGAAUUCCCGGUGUAGAGGUGAAAUUCGUAGAUAUCGGGAGGAACACCUGUGGCGAAGGCGGCCAUCUGGACGGUGACUGACGCUGAGACGCGAAAGCGUGGGUAGCAAACAGG